GAAUGUGGAAAGUGGGAGUGAAGUGGCUUGACUGCGGGAAAUGCAAACUGCGUUUGUGGCGAGAGGAAGAGAAGAACGUUGAGGGUGCGAUAGGAGUCAUACCAUACCGGGAUCGAUCUUCAAGGACGUGAAAAGUCCACGACGGAGUUGGCGGGGAGGCUCAACUGUGCCGUGAACGGCUCAGAGUGGGGAGAUCCGGUAACUGACAACGGCGAUGGCGUGGAUGUUAAGUGUGAGAGCGAAGGGACCAAAAAGCAAAGGGUGAAUUCAAGGGAUGAUGAGGUUGGACAGGGAAACAACAUGGUGGUGGUGGUGGUGGAGAGGGAAUUUAAAGUGAUUCCUCGGUUGAAUGACGAGAAAGCCCUUUUUUCUCUAAGUCCAGUUCCUUAAAAAAACAACUGGGAGAAUGAUAAACAAGCCAAAGUCUUGUAAUUGUGGAGGGAAUCACAGCGUGGCGUAUGGAGAUGAAAAGAGGAGGGCAGGGUGAAAAACUGAACAACAUGGGCAGACGCCGUCGGGGUGGCGAAGAAGCAGAGUGAGGGAGAGAAGUGCGAAACCGCAAAAUGAACCAGAACAAGCAGGUGAGGGAAAAGUUUGGGUAGAUCGCAAGAGACUUACAACAUUCGUUGCAGGUGUUAGGAAUGCAACGAUGGGAAUUAACUCCAAAACAGAAAGAAUACAAAUUAUACUUAGAGCAGCAGAAAAUCAUCUUAAUAACAAACAGCUACUCCCCACACGUGACAGAAUACUUGGGCCACUAUGGACCCAGCAACUGCGGAGGCUCCGAAGAACGCACUAACCCUCCAAGGCGCCCACAUUGGACGGCAGGACAAAAACCUGCAAGAAAUCACCGAAACGCUCCACUCCCUUUCGCAACAUGUCUGCCUCCUUUCCCAACAGAUGCAAUCCAUUCAACCCCCUGUAAGUACUCCUCCCGAGUCCGCAGCCUCCCAGCCAAAGAACCUCACGUCCCUCCGCCCGAGCCCUACUCCGGGGACCUAGGUGCAUGUAGCCAGUUUAUUCUAAAUUGCUCACUCGUAUUCAAUCUCCCACCGAACGUUCCAAAGUAGCCCAUGUCACUAACCUCGUCCGCGGCAAAGCAGCAAAAUGGCCCACUUCAUUAUGGCAAAACUCCUCUCAGGUACUUCAUUGAUUCGAUUCUUUUUCCGCAAAGUAUUUGAUCACCCAGUUCAGGGCAAAGAAGCCUCACGCUCACGCAGGGCGCUAAAUCGGCAGCGGAAUAUUCCAUUGAGUUCCAGAUAUUGGCGGGUGAACGCGGGGCGGGACGACGCGGCGCUCGGAGGGAUUUUUUCAAAUGGCCUCUCCGACCGACUCGAGGAUGAGCUAGCGGUCCGGGACGAGCCCGCCGCUCUCGAGGAUCUCAUCGCUCUUUCCAUUCAGCUUGAGAACCGACCACGAGAGAGGAGGGUCCGCGUAUGUAAGAAUCCUCCCGCUGAGAGCACCGCGCCGUCAACUUCUCACCCGCCUCCCGCACUUCCGUAGCUCCCACAAAGCCCAUGCAAAUUGGUAAAACGCGUCUAGACCCACAGGAGCGUCGGCGUCGAGUCAUCCAAUCCGGUGCCUUUAUUUCCUCACGAUCAAAAGACCAAGCUCACCGAGAGCGUGGCGGUGAGCCAAACCUCCGAUCCCUCAAGCGCUCCGUCUCGCAUGACCGUUCCCGCUUGCGUUAUAGUUUCCACCAUGACUGCCCUUAUAGAUUCCGGUGGCGAUGACAACUUCAUUCAUGAAGCAAUAAUUCACCAGCUCCAACCACUUCCAUCCCCGAAGAAAGUCAAAGCAUCUAACCCUUUUCCCACCAAAGCGUGCCAUUCGCCUUGCUCGUUUCGGGUCAUCGAACUACUGCAACAACAGGACAUUUUCUUAGCACUACCUCAGCAACAGCAGGAACACCGGGAAAAAGCUUUGUCAUAAUAAUCAUGGAAUUAAAAAAACACGGACUGGAUGCACUUUCACUGGAGAUACGAUAGUAAUUGUCUGCCGCCGCUUUGAAAAUCAACCAGUGGUUCCAUGCGAUGUCAUGACGAAUGGGAUGAGAACACGGUGCAACAGACAGGACAGACACACGGAGACCAUCGCCUCGUCCUACUUCGAUGGCAUGUCACUUAUCGGAACAAAAGAACCUUGGAGAAAGCUGGCACCACUACUCGGUCUUCCUUGUUCCAAUUUGUUCAGUGACGGCAAGGGGAAGCGAAAUCUCACAAUACCUGCCCGGGGAAGGAAGAUGACAUCAUUCCGCUACAAUGAAAUGAGUCAUUUCAGCUUCAAACACGGGCAGAAGGAAAAGAGAGAAGCCUUUGUCAGCAAAAUACAAGGUUCGUAUCAAUCUGAAACGUUACCUAUGAGCUGGAGUCUUAUUUUUGGCUUUCAAUAUCCCUCCCAGACACAGAAAAGCCUCUCCUUGAGCCGUCGCCUUAUCGUGUGUGUGUCCCAAUCGGCCUAGGUCCUAAGUUGCCCCUGGUAGGGUCACCCAUGGCAAACAGGUCCAAGGUGAGGGACCACACAAAGUACGGCUCCAAAAUCCCCGAUGAAGAAUAAAUCAAAUGGAUCUAGGUUUCCCUUGCCCAGACCUGGUGGCCGAGCCUGCACCCUUGGGGCCCGGCCGGGCACAGCUCGGAAGGGUAACGUGGCAAACGUUACCGACGUGGUCCUCCAUGGGCUCACCACCCGUGGGAGGGGCCAUAGGGGUCCUUUUGCAGUGUGAGCUGGGAGGUCGCCGAAGGCGGGGACCUUGGAGAUCCGAUCCCCGUCUACAGAAACUGGUACUAGGGACGUGGAAUGUCACCUCUCUGACAGGGAAGGAGCCCGAGAGCUGGUGUGUGAGGUUGAGAAGUUCCACACACGGCUUGGGGUCUGGUACCAGUCCUCUUGAGAGGGGUUGGACUCUCUUUACCACUCUGGAGUUGCCCAUGGUGUGAGGCACCGAGCAGAUGUGGGUAUACUUAUUGCCCCCGGCUCGGCGCCUGUACGUUGGGGUUCACCCUGGACGACGAGAGGGUAGUCUCCCUCUGCCUCCGGGUGGGGGGGACGGGUCCUGACUGUUGUUUGUUUCUCUGCACCAAACAGCAGUUCAGAGUACCCACCCUUUUUGGAGUCCUUUGAGGUGUUGCUGGAGAGCGCUCCCGCUGGGGACGCCAUCGUUCUGCUGGGGGACUUCAAUGCUCAUGUGGGCAAUGACAGUGAGACCUGAAAGGGCGUGAUUGUGGGGAACGGCCCCCCCAAUCAGAACCCGAGUGGUGUUCUGUUGUUGGACUUCUGUGCUCACCAUGGAUUGUCUUUAACGAACACCAUGUUCAAGCAUAAGGGUGUCCACACGUGCACUUGGCACCAGGACACCCUAGGUCGCAGUUCGAUGAUCGACUUUGUGGUCGUGUCAUCGGACUUGCGGCCGCAUGUCUUGGACACUCCGGUGAAGAGAGGGGCGGAGCUGUCAACCGAUCACCACCUGGUGGUGAGUCGGCUCCGAUGGUGGGGGAAGAUGCCGGUCCGACCUGGCGGGCCCAAAAGUAUUGUUAGGGUCUGCUGGGAAUGUCUGGCAGAAUCCCCUGUCAGAAGGAGUUUCAACUCCCACCUCUCACAACUUCAUCUACGUCUCGAGGAAACACAUUGAGUCAGAGUGGACCAUGUUCCGCGCCUCUAUUGCCGAGGCGGCCGACUGGAGCUGUGGCCGUAAGGUAGUCAGUGCCUGUCGUGGCGGCAAUCCAUGAACCCGUUGGAGGACACCAGCGGUGAGGGAUCCCGUCAAGCUGAAGAAAGAGUCCUAUUGUGUUUUUUUGGCCUGUGGGACUCCUGAGGGAGCUGAUUGGUACCGGCUGGCCAAGCGGAAUGCGGCUUUGUUGGUCGCUGAGGCAAAAACUCUGGCGUGGGAGGAGUUCGGUUGAGGCCAUGGAGAACGACUUCCAGAUGGCUUCGAGGAAAUUGUGGUCCACGGUCCGGUGUCUCAGGAGGGGGAAGCAGUGCACCAUCAACACUGUGUAUAGUGGGGAUGGGGCGCUGCUGAACCUCGACACGGGACGUUGUGAGUCGGUGGGGAGAAUACUUCGAAAACCUCCUCAAUUCCACCGACACGCCUUCCCAUGAGGAAGCAAAGUCUAAGGUCUCUGAGAUGGGCUCUGCUACCUCUGGGGUUGAGGUCACCGAGGUGGUUAAAAAGCUCUCUGGUGGCAAGGCCCUUGGGGAGGAUGAGAUUCGCCCGGAGUUCCUAACGGCUCUGGGUGUUGUAGAGCUGUCCUGGUUGACACGCCGCCUUUUCAACAUCGCGUGGACAUCGGGGACAGUGUCUCUGGAUUGGCAGACUGGGGUGGUGGUCCCCCUUUUUAAGAAAGGGGACUGGAGUGUGUGUUCUAACGACAGGGGGAUCACACUCCUCAGCCUACCUCUCUCAGGGAUGCUGGAGAGGAGGGUCCGUCGGGAAGUCGAAUCUCAGAUUCAGGAGGACACAAUUGACAUUGUGAUCUGCAGUGAAAGCAGGGAGCAGCUGGAGGAACAGUUAAAAAGAUGGAGGCAUGCACUGGAAAGAAGAGGAAUGAAGAUUAGCCGAAGUAAAACAGAAUAUAUGUGCAUGAAUGAGAGGGGUGGUGGGGGAAGAGUGAGGCUACAGGGAGAAGAGAUAGCAAGGGUGGAGGACUUGAAUUACUUGGGGUCAACCGUCCAGAGCAAUGGGGAGUGUGGUCAGGAAGUGAAGAAACGGGUCCCAGCAGGUUGGAACGGGUGGAGGAAGGUGUCAGGUGUGUUAUGUGACAGAAGAGUCUCUGCUCGGAUGAAGGGCAAAGUUUAGAAGACAGUGGUGAGGCCGGCCAUGAUGGACCGAUUAGAGACAACAGGAAGCAGAGCUGGAGGUGGCGGAAAUGAAGAUGUUGAGGUUCGCUCUCGGAGUGACCAGGUUGGAUAGGAUUAGAAAUGAGCUCAUCAGAGGGACAGCCAAGGUGCGAUGUUUUGGAGGCAAAGUUAGAGAGAGCAGACUUGGAUGGUUUGGACACGUCCAGAGGGGAGAGAGUGAGAGUGAGUAUAUUGGUAGAAGGAUGACGAGGAUGGAGCUGCCAGGCAAGAGAGCUAGAGGAAGAACAAAGAGAAGGUUGAUGGAUGUCUUGAGGGAAGACAUGAGGGCAGUUGGUGCGAGAGGAGGAUGCAGGAGAUAGGCUGACAUAGAAAAGGAUGACGCGCUGUGGCGACUCCUGACGGGACAAGCCCAAAGGAAAAGAAGAUGAUUACUUUUUUUAGAAAAAGUUCCAUGCGACAAUAGCGCACCUCUUUCAAAUGUGGCGGCUGCUGGUCGUGUGUAAUUGGCUGAAAGCGCAUAUAGGUGGAACUUCCGCUGAAACCCCUCCAUUCCGGGGGUUGGCACGAGCGCUCACGAGGAAUGGUUUGAAGGAAAAGGAAGGAAAGGGAAAGAGACGCACUUCAAGUGCAGGUUGGCCGGCGCGCUGGCAGUGGCAAUGCUUGCCACGCGGUCAGGAAAAAAACUCGCACCGCAAUUGCUUCCCAACGGGGCCUCGUCCGUAAACUGCCCCUUACCCAAAAGGGUAGCUUUGGGGAGUUGGAAGGUGCUUUCUGCGGAAGCUGGGCGUCCCCCAACCUCCCGCAGCUCGUGGUGAGAGGUUGGGGGCUUCCCGGGCUGGGCCAGGCCUUCGGCAGGUGGAACAACGAGAGUGAGAGAGCCAGAGACAAAAGGAGCUUCGGCCUUUUAUCCACUUCAGAGAGCGCUUCCUUUUGACCAAACGGAAGGCAGACAGAAGCGCAUUUCACUUUAGUCGAAUUUGUGGUUUAAAACCAGUGGAAUAAAAUAUGAAUUCUUGGAUUGAAGCUAAUGAGAGAGAGCGUCGUUGCGCUUUGCCUUGUCACACGCCCAUCCUCUUUAUUCCCGGUAACGAAUGUUUCGAGUGUAUGUGAUUGUUGGGAACACGAAUAUUUGCAAUGUGGCAUUCGUGUCGUGGGGUGAAACAUUGAACAUCCGGUUCGGUUGGCAACAGAUUACGUCAACGUAAAAUUCUUAAAAUAUUACGUCACAUCUAAAUAGUGGAAUGUGCCGACUCUUGGGCAAAACUCUGGUAAUCCUUACUCGAAUAACAGCAGGUGACAGAUGAUUUAUGUAAAGGACAGCUGAGAGUCUGAAAGUGGCUCCUUGUUGCCAGCAAGACGUGUCAAAAUGUGACUGUUUACGACUGUCAAGCGUUCCAUCGGCCCACCGCCUAAUGGACCAAGAGCGCCUCCGAGAGGGAGAUGAAUGCCAUGACCACCUCGGGAUUACAGACACCACGAGAGAGCGAGAAACUCCGAAUUAGUCACCAGUUGGAUUGCAUGUUAAAUGAACACCAGAUAGCAUUAAAACGAAAUAUAUAUGAUUGUAUUGCAUGACUUCAUUGUAUUCAAAAAUAUCAACAAGAGUGCUGAGACAUGAUUAUAAACUUAACGUGACACAAUUAGAUACUCUGCCAUUUUCGGGAAACUUGGUUUGAGCCAAUCAAGACCAAGGGGAGGGUUUUAGAAUGAGGCGGGUACGUCCCGGAUGGAGUGCGUAUAAACGCGCGUCUUAUUGGAACUGUUCAGUACUUUCGUCGCCUUGGCGAAUUGCUCUGUUUAUUUGGAGGCGUCUAACAAACAUCCAGUGGUCGGCUCAAGCUACUUGUCUUUCGGCUUCAUUUCGAGUCUUUGUAUAUUUCUUAAACCGUAGCGAGCUAAAUUCGAAUUCAAAUCCAUCGCUUGGCCACCAUCUUCUGAGCAGAAGGAGAGCGGGCGGAGGCCGGGGACAAGCGUGACAAAGAAAGCGACAAUUCGAGACACCACAAUCGCUCUGAAAUCGCCAGCGAGCCACACAAAAAAAAAAGGCAGGAAGAGAAACGGUCGGACUCUCCCAACAAGGCGCGACGAACAACAUUUUCGUUUUGUCUUCUGCAACCAAAUCUGUCUCCUUGCUUCCUGAGACCAGACCACCAGCUUGAACCUCCGCUCGAGGGAAACGACAAGCUUCAAACAAAAUCUCCACUUUGUCCUCUCUCUCGCACGCGUUUUCCACUUCAGUCCAACACACGAUGUUCUAUUUUCCACUCUUGGUUGUAUUUUGUGUGCGUUCUGAGUUUAAUUAAGCCUCUGUCAAAGUCAACAUUUCAUAAAGUGUAGCAACCGUCAGAUUACAAGUGAUAAAAAGGUUUCUCGUCACUUACUCUAAAUUUUAUACAUUGUGCCCCCUUUACUAGAUAAAAUAGUUUGAUUUUAACGAUUAAACUUAAAAUUACGCUAAACCGGAAGCAACGCAGCUAUCGCUUCCGGCUUAUUUUUUUCCUCCUAAAUUACAUUUGUAUUCAACUAAUAUACACUACAACCGAGCCACCUCAUCUGGAUCCUCUCAAUACGGAGGAGCAGUGGCUCGACUGUGAGGCCUUACAGGACGGAAAAGCUUCUUCACCAGGCACUGCUCAUCACCUGCCCUAUACAGUCCCCACAGCGAAGCAUGGUGGGGGCGUUUUUCAGCUGCAGGCACAGGAAGAUAAGAUGAAUGGGGCCAAGUGCAGGGAUAUCCUGGACGGAAAUCUUCUCCAGAGUGCUCGGGACCUCGGACUGGGCCGAAGGUUCACCUUCAAAAAAGACGAUGACCCUAAGCGCACAGCUAAAAUACCGAAGGAAUGGCUUCAGAACAACUCUGUGACUGUUCUUGAACGGCCCAGACAGAGCCUUGACUUACGAACCCAAUUGAGCAGCUCUAGAAAGACCUGAAAAUGGCUGCCCACCAACGUUCACCAUCCAACCUGACAGAACUGGAGAGGAUCUGCAAGGAGGAAUGGCAGAGGAUCCCCAAAUCCAGGUGGGAAAAACCUGUUGCAUCAUUGCUGUAUGAGCUCAAAAGGCUGCUUCGACUAAACACUGAGCAAAGGCUCGGAAUACUGACGGCUGUGUGAUACUGCAUUGUUUCUUUUUGAAUAAAUCUGCAAACAUUUCAACAAUUCUGUUCCCCCCCCCGUCAAUAUGGGGUGCUGUGUGAAAAAAAUGAACUUAAAUGAUUUUAGCAAAUGGCUGAAAAAAAGUGAAAAAUUGAAUGGGGUCUGAAUACUUU